rnacentral:rRNA from 1 species
UAGGGAAUCUUCCGCAAUGGACGAAAGUCUGACGGAGCAACGCCGCGUGAGUGAUGAAGGUUUUCGGAUCGUAAAACUCUGUUAUUAGGGAAGAACAAAUGCGUAAGUAACUGUGCGCAUCUUGACGGUACCUAAUCAGAAAGCCACGGCUAACUACGUGCCAGCAGCCGCGGUAAUACGUAGGUGGCAAGCGUUAUCCGGAGUUAUUGGGCGUAAAGCGCGCGUAGGCGGUUUCUUAAGUCUGAUGUGAAAGCCCACGGCUCAACCGUGGAGGGUCAUUGGAAACUGGGAAACUUGAGUACAGAAGAGGAAAGUGGAAUUCCAUGUGUAGCGGUGAAAUGCGCAGAGAUAUGGAGGAACACCAGUGGCGAAGGCGACUUUCUGGUCUGUAACUGACGCUGAUGUGCGAAAGCGUGGGGAUCAAACA